rnacentral:rRNA from 1 species
GGGUGUGAUUAUAUCAGCACUAAUGUAUCAGAUCCUAUCAGAAUUUUUAAAUUAGGCAUAUUUAGGUGAGAAUAAUAUUCGGGUGGGUGACCUCCUAGAAAGUCCUCAUGUUGCAUCCC